AUGGAGUAAAACAAAGGGACGUCCCUUAAUUAAGCGUUUGAAGACAUGUUCCUUGGUGCGACAUGUCACAACUGUAUUGGGUAGAGGAACGGUGAAGUCGUUCCUGUUUCUUUCUCUCUUCUCUUUCUCUUCUCGUAUUGGGUAGAGGAACGGUGAACGGUGAGAGCAUGUAUCAACAUCGACGCUCUAGACAGUAUUCUCUGUAAAUUUGGGUUUGAUUUUCGCAGUUGCAGACUUUUUUGGUGUUUUCAAUCUGAACCAGAGCUGUUCUUCAAAGUUUAAAGGAGUUCGCAGUGAAGAUUGAAGUUUGUGAAAGGAUGGUGAUCGAGGAAGGAGUGCUCGAAUUGGUACAAGAUGUUUGAAGAUCAAAGUCACGAUGAAGAAGGAGAUGUGGUUAAGAGACCCCAAAUAGGAUCGUACCAAUAUAGGAUAGAAAAUUAAAGGUUUCCAAUUACAUCAAUUAAGUUAAGUUAAUUGAUAUAAUAUUGGUUAAGAGACCCCAAUGGGGUUGUACCAAUAAACAUGCCCUUAGUUUCUAUUGAUAUUAUCGACACUAUAUUUAAUUAGUCAUGAAAUAUAGUCGAACAUAUACUUCUUUAUGAACUUUACUUUCCAAAAAUAACAACUUAAAAUGGAAUUGAUAGUAAUGUGUGAUAAGCUAUAUAUGUAUUUCAUAACAAUCAUCAAUUUUUUUUAUUUUUCUUUUGCAAUAUUCUUCAAACAUUGAAUUUUCAAUGUUGAUUAUUUUAAUUUCAUAGGGCUUGUUUGAUUUUCAAGAAUUUUUAAAAAGAUUGUUAGUCAUCAAGAAAAUAGAGAAAAUAAAAUUUACAUGGAAGAUUGGGAAAUGGAACAAUUCUAACAACACAGUCAACAAUGGAGAAAACAAACAUUACAGAAAACGACUAAAUAAUGAAAACUAAAACAUUGAAUAAAAUAAAUAAUUAUGUUUUAUUUCAUAUUUGUUUUAUAAUUAUUUAAUGUCUGUAUAAUUAAAACUUAAGAUUCUCUUAGAAAAAAAUGUAUCUUGAACUUGUUGCAUUUACUAUCAUAAUUAUAAAAGGCAAAAUUAAGGGGAAAGGAAAGUAGGUUUGAAGAAGAGUUCAUGAACCACUACACUAUGACACCUCUAACUGUUUCGGCGCCCCUACAUUAUUUUCAAAUUCUGGCGUCUAAAGCCCAUAUUUACGGGAUUUAGCCCAGCGCCAACCAUGCCUCCUUGCCAUCAUAAGACCACCUCCAUCAGUGUCUCUUAAGGCAUAUUCUAAAAAAAACAAGAAAAAAAUAAAUAAAAAAGGAUAAAGGAGCAAGAACCGGUGUCUAUUUUAGGAUUUUUAGAGGUGUUAAGAGCCUUACAUGUCACGUUCUUAUUCGACCUCCCAUUUAUGUCUCUCUCUUUCCUCCUCCAAUCUAGAUCACCCCAUUUUCUCCUACGAUGAUGUCAUUUUUAUUUAAACUUCUUAUGUAUGCUUUUUUAUGUUAUUAAAUUUAAUCAUUCAAAAACAAAAUCCAAUCAUUCAACUUCUAUUAAAAAAAAAUUAAAAACCUCAAAGAGAUUCUCUCAUUGGAUCCAAAAAAAAUUAAUUACUCUAAGAAAGGUUCUAAACUCCUCAAAUCACAAAAUUAACUAUUAAAUUAUUCAUUAGAAUCCAUAAUAGGUUCUAACCAUUGAACUUGCUCUAAGAAUCUAUUAGGUUUAAUAAGACCGGAAGCACACAAAAAAAUGUGGCCGCUUUCUUAAAAAAAAUAGAGAAAAAAUAUGUUGUAAAGGAGAGUUAAACCAGAUUGGUAAAACAAAGUCUAAUUUCUAGAGUUAAUACCACUAGACUAAGACAGUCUUUUCAAAAAUUUGUGGCCGGAAUAGUUUCUUAAAUAUAUUGGCUGGAAGCAUGUGUUUCAUUGGCUUGGUCCAAGGGCUGGUGGCUCUGCUUCGAUUUGUUGUCUUUUUGCAUUGUUUACAUUUUAUCCAUAUAUUUUUGUAAAGGUUUUUUUGUCUAAGCUGAAUUCAAUGAUACAAACAAUAACAUGCAAUAAUCAAAUCUCUGUGUAAUUACUAAUUACAAUUGUUAAAUAGAUAUACAUGUGUUGAGAAAAAAAAAAGAUGUACAUUUACAAAAUAAGAAAGUAAAGCACUUUCUUUGAAAAAUUCAUAGAAAUUGAACUUUUGCACGAAAAAAUAAAAGAGUAUUUAAAUAUUUAGUGGAAAGUAGAGUGAUUUAAAAAAAAAAGUAGAGUGAUUUAAGAAAAGUAAAGAUCCUGCAUUAAUUUUUUUGGGAAAGAAUCCAACAAUCAAGUUAUAAUAUAUAUAUUGAGCAAAAAAAAUCAAUUUUUAUUUAUAUAUUUAUAAUAAUAUACUCCAUCACUGUGAUUUUAACUUUUCUAACAUUAAUUUUUUUGGUAAAGAAUCCAACAAUAUUGACUUCUCCAUUCAGAUCUUGCAUUAAAUUCAAUUAACUCUGAAAUAUUUUUCCUUAAGGAAGUAAUAUCAACAUAUAUGGAAGAUUUAACUCUGGUCAAAAUAAAAAUAAUAGAGGGAUAUUAAACUGAGACUUUUCUUGGCAAAGAGUGUAUAAAUAGAGUAGAUGUUAAAAGUUAAAACAAAGUCCAUAGUAAUAAAACUUAAAACAUAUAAUGGAUAUCAGAAAACCCUCUAUCACUUUCUUUUUUGUAAUAACAUUGGUAACCUCGCUGUCUAGCUACAACACUUUGGCCGCCUCGGUGAUUAACUCAGCAAAUGGUGAUGUUUGCGAUGUUCCAUGUGUGCCUGGAAAGUACGAGCUUUUCGAAUGUGCCCAUGACUGUAUGGUGGAUGGGUUCUCUACAGGAUAUUGUGAUAAAAAAUCUCAAAAAUGCUGUUGCACCAACAAAGGGAUUUAAUAUCAGGUCUUUGAAAAUUGUCUGAGGCUUCAGUUAUGAAGUGUAAUGUUGAAUGAAAUAAAACAAAAUUAUUAUAUAUAUAUA